rnacentral:rRNA from 1 species
GACGAACGCUGGCGGCGUGCUUAACACAUGCAGGUCGAACGGAAAGGCCCUGCUUUUGUGGGGUGCUCGAGUGGCGAACGGGUGAGUAACACGUGAGUAACCUGCCCUUGACUUUGGGAUAACUUCAGGAAACUGGGGCUAAUACCGGAUAGGAGCUCCUGCUGCAUGGUGGGGGUUGGAAAGUUUCGGCGGUUGGGGAUGGACUCGCGGCUUAUCAGCUUGUUGGUGGGGUAGUGGCUUACCAAGGCUUUGACGGGUAGCCGGCCUGAGAGGGUGACCGACCACAUUGGGACUGAGAUACGGCCCAGACUCCUACGGGAGGCAGCAGUGGGGAAUAUUGCACAAUGGGCGGAAGCCUGAUGCAGCAACGCCGCGUGCGGGAUGACGGCCUUCGGGUUGUAAACCGCUUUCGCCUGUGACGAAGCGUGAGUGACGGUAAUGGGUAAAGAAGCACCGGCUAACUACGUG